rnacentral:rRNA from 1 species
GAUGAACGCUGGCGGUGUGCCUAAGGUAUGCAAGUCGAACGGUCCUUAUGAUUAUCAUUUGGACAGUGGCAGACUGGUGAGUAACGCGUGGAUAAUCUGCCCCGAAGAUGAGGAUAGCUCGCCGAAAGGUGAGGUAAUCCUCAAUGGUGUGGGAAGUACAUAUGUACAUCCCACUAAAGCUUUAGCGCUUCGGGAUGAGUCUGCGUCCUAUCAGCUUGUUGGUAGAGUAAAGGUCUACCAAGGCUAAGACGGGUAACUGGUCUGAGAGGAUGGUCAGUCACAGUGGCACUGAAACACGGGCCACACUCCUACGGGAGGCAGCAAUUAGGAAUCUUGCACAAUGGAGGAAACUCUGAUGCAGCGACACCGCGUGAAGGAUGAAGACCCUCGGGUUGUAAACUUCUUUUAUAAUCUAACAAGUUCUGAGUGGAGUAUGAAUAAGCACCUGCUAACUGCGUGCCAGAAGCAUCGGUGAAGCGUGGGGUGCGAGCGUUAUCCGGAUUUAUUGGGCGUAAAGAGAUGCGUAGGCGUUUUGGUAAGUCUUCUGUCAAAGCCUUCGGCCUAACCGAAGAAAGGCAGAGGAUACUAUCAGAAUUGAGACAGAGAGGGGGAAGUGGAAUUCCCGGUGGAGCGGUGAAAUGCGUUGAUAUCGGGAGGAACACCAGUGGCGAAGGCAACUUCCUGGCUCUGUUCUGACGCUGAGGCUCGAAAGCGUGGAGAGCAAAGCGGAUUAGAUACCCGUGUAGUCCAUGCUGUAAACGUUGGAUACUGGACGUUUGGUUC